GGUGGUUUGGCGCAACGGUCAAGCGCUUGGCACUCUCUUUCGAGAGGGGGUGGGUUCGAAUCCCGCAACCACCA